GAUGAAGAACGUAGCGAAAUGCGAUAAGUAAUGUGAAUUGCAGAAUUCAGUGAAUCAUAGAAUCUUUGAACGCACCUUGCGCCCUUUGGACAUUCCGAAGGGCAUGCCUGUUUGAGUAUCAUGAACACCUCAACUCUCACGGCUUGUCCGUGAUGAGCUUGGACUUUGGGGGUCUUGCCGGCCUGUGGUCGGCUCCUCUCAAAUGGAUCAGCUUGCCAGUGUUUGGUGGCAUCACAGGUGUGAUAACUAUCUGCGCUUGUGGUUUUCCAUCAGAUAACCUUCAGUGAUAUGGAGGUUCGCUGGAGCUCACAAAUGUCUCUCCUUAGUGAGGACAGCUCUUUGAACGUUUGAUCUCAAAUCAGGUAGGACUACCCGCUGAACUUAAGCAUAUCAAUAAGCGGAGGA
rnacentral:misc_RNA from 1 species